GCGGGGAAAUCGAGUGUCGUUGCGUUGUUACACCGAACUGACCUCCCGAAGGCCAUAUAGUGGACUCUCGAGGGUUUUUGUUCCACCUUUCACCCCCACAAAUCAUCGCUGGUCGAGAGAAUUAAGAGAGAGGGAGCCGUUGGUGGCUGCCGCACUGGAAUUUUAGGCCAAGUGCAACUAAGCUCUUGGCGAGUGUCCAAUAGGGUUCGCCCGGUCGUGGGGAAGGUUGUCGACAACUUUCCUGGGGCGAAUCGUGACACAGCGCCAUAGAAUCUCUCGCCGGAGUUCACGUUCUGCGGCUGUCCGCCUCGCCGCGUGUCUGACCUCACCCGCGACAUAAUCGGUCGGUGAAGAGCAGGUAGCCCUGGAGGAUGUCUACUACGAGGAGUACGAGCUUGUCUAGGUACCAUUCAGGAAAUGGUUGAUGGUGUGACUUGGCCUACCACCCUGCCACUGGGUUGGACGGUCGAGUGGGAUGUUGCUCCGGCAGGAGAGGAGCACGAGGAGUAGUCGGCUAGGCCUUGCCCAUUUCCUCAAUACCGACGACAUCGAUUAUCUGCUGCACUUUAUUAUGUGAACUUUAUUUGCUACUCGAAAACUCCGAUUUAUGUAAUAACUCAGUACUUAAUUUGAGGUUUUCCUGUUUUA